rnacentral:rRNA from 1 species
GGCGUGCUUACCAUGNCAGUCGAACGGAAAGGCCUCUGCUUGCAGAGGUACUCGAGUGGCGAACGGGUGAGUAACACGUGGGUGAUCUGCCCUGCACUUCGGGAUAAGCCUGGGAAACUGGGUCUAAUACCGGAUAGGACGAUGGUUUGGAUGCCAUUGUGGAAAGUUUUUUCGGUGUGGGAUGAGCUCGCGGCCUAUCAGCUUGUUGGUGGGGUAAUGGCCUACCAAGGCGUCGACGGGUAGCCGGCCUGAGAGGGUGUACGGCCACAUUGGGACUGAGAUACGGCCCAGACUCCUACGGGAGGCAGCAGUGGGGAAUAUUGCACAAUGGGCGCAAGCCUGAUGCAGCGACGCCGCGUGGGGGAUGACGGCCUUCGGGUUGUAAACUCCUUUCGCUAGGGACGAAGCGCAAGUGACGGUACCUGGAGAAGAAGCACCGGCUAACUACGUGCCAGCAGCCGCGGUAAU